CCGUGACUCAGGCACCGCUCACCACUGCCCCUGCCCCUGCCUGGCAAAGGGUGCGGAGCCCAGGACUGGUCGCCAGCAGCAGGCGGGGCCCAGAGCGUGAGGACGAGGCAGGCGAAGGCUGGCGCUGGGAAAGUCAGGGAGAGAGAGGAAUCCCGCAGAGCGUGUUGGUGGAGAAGGGCCGCCCGGGUGCCUACACACGGGAAGGGGCAGGUCCUGGGUCUGGCUCGAGUCCGACUGAGUGCCUGCAGACCUGUCACGCAGCGCCUCCUCUUCUGCUAUGGCAGUUGUGGUGGGCUGUCGGUCUCCUUUGUGCUGUGGGACCACAGCGGCACGGCUUGGCUGAGGGUUCUCCUGCUGGCUCUGCCCUCCGCCCUCCACCCUCCGCCUUGGACCUGCUAAGGCUGCGCCCAAAGCUCCUGGGCCUCGGCCGGCCCCGAGUGCACAUCUGUGAGACGGGGCAAUAGCACCUGCCUCACAAAGUCGUUAUGAGGGAUGAAGGAACUAGAGUCUUAAGGCACCUGGGACGGGGUUUAACGGACGGAGACCAGAGCGCGAGUGCUGGACAGCAGCGGAGUGCCGCGGAGCCCAGUUUCUAACGAGUUCUUGUUACCGCCGACUGCCACAGCACCCAGGGUUUGCACCAGUGCCCACGCACAGGAGCUCAGGAGUCUGAGAGAGCGUGUGAUCAUCAACCAGUGAGCCCUGAGGGUGCAGGCGGCCACCUGGCACCCUGAACACGGGCACAGGAGCCACGCCAGAGCGCUUCGUUGCUGGCCAGAGUCUGGCCCUGGCUGGUGUCCUGCACACUCAGUGCCGUGAGGAACGUGGGAGGGGGGUCCCGAAUACGCACAGAGGCAUGUUCACAGGUGCCAUUUGCACACGGCCUGCACAGAGCUGGGCAAACAGCGUUCGAUUUCUGUGAGUCGAACUUUAACACAAAGCAAACAUGCUGACUGCCAAGCGGGCCUCGCCACAGCUCUGCAGGUGAGCGCUGGUGUAGAGAGCCGUGGAGGCGUCCAGGGUCCAGGGACCAGUACGUGGACCUUUCUGGAAGGAUGGCUAUUUCUGCCCCUCCGGGAGUGCCAGAGCGAAGAGUCAAGGCUGUGAAUCGGGAGCUUCGCAGGGUCGAAUGUGAAGGACUUCAAGGUCCCAGUGCACUGGCGGCUUCUGCCAGGAAACCCUGAAGGGCUGGAACUGCCAGAGGACGGCACUGACCCACAGCCCCGUGCAGCCAGCGUGCAAAUGGGCCUUGGAAACCUGCUGGGAGGAGAGGGGCACGCCGGCAUCGGAGAACGCUCGUUCCUGCAUACACGGAGCGUCUCCCGAGCAUACAAACAAGAACACUCAGAGGCCCGAGAAGGUUUUCUCAGUCAUCAAUUCACAGAGCUGUCACCGUUUUUAAACUUCGGGGCGCUGACAAGGACCUGCAGCCAGCCCUGUCGGCGACCCUUCAAUCACCCUUACUUUUCCCAGAACUGAGCCAUCACAUGACCUCUCCUGUCGAGGAGAUAGCUUAGAAACAAGGGAUGAGAAAGCAGAGACUAACCUGGAGAAGCACUUUUCCCGCACGUGCACUGUUCUCAUAAGGAGCUGGCCUGCAGGCUGACCCUGCAAGCCCGGGGCUGCGCACUCGGUCCGGAGGGGUGAGCACAGGCGGGCCAGGAGAGGUUGCCAUAGGCCGGUGCGCCAAGGGGGCACUGCUACCAGCCUGCGCAGGAGGCCGGCCAAGGCCCCCCGGGCUCGGGCGUGGGCCCCCUGUGCGCCCGCUCCCCUGCGCAGGCCAGCCACCUCAGCCCUGAGGCCUGUGCAGCCAUGGGUCGUCCUCACUGCUUCAAGAGCGAAGCAAACAGAAAAGAAGUGAAAUAAAGUUUCCUACCCUCUUCAACAAAGCAGGAAAGGGUGGGUUACCAUUAGAACGUUUUCUGCCCCAAAUGUCUUUUUAUUUCUUUCUUUCUUUUCCUUUUUCUUUCCUUCUCUUUUCUCUUUCCCCUGC